ACGGGAGGCAGCAGUGGGGAAUAUUGCACAAUGGGGGAAACCCUGAUGCAGCGACGCCGCGUGAGUGAAGAAGUUAUUCGUAAUGUAAAGCUCUAUCAGCAGGGAAGAAAAUGACGGUACCUGACUAAGAAGCCCCGGCUAACUACGUGCCAGCAGCCGCGGUAAUACGUAGGGGGCAAGCGUUAUCCGGAUUUACUGGGUGUAAAGGGAGCGUAGACGGUCUUGCGAGUCUGAUGUGAAAGGCAGGGGCUCAACUCCUGGACUGCAUUGGAAACUGUAAGUCUUGAGUGCCGGAGAGGUAAGCGGAAUUCCUAGUGUAGCGGUGAAAUGCGUAGAUAUUGAGAGGAACACCGGUGGCGAAGGCGGCUUUCUGGACUGUAACUGACGCUGAGGCGCGAAAGCGUGGGGAGCAAACAGGAUUAGAUACCCUGGUA
rnacentral:rRNA from 1 species